CCAGUAAUAGGUCUGAGUUCCUUAAAUGACUCGACCUGCGACUUCCGGGAAACCAAAGUCUUUCGGUUCCAGGGGAAGUAUGGUUGCAAAGCUGAAACGUAAAGAAAUUGACGGAAGGGCACCACCAGGAGUGGAGCCUGCGGCUUAAUCUGACUCAACACGGGAAAACUCACCCGGCCCGGACACUAGAAGGAUUGACAGAUUGAGAGCUCUUUCUUGAUUUGGUGGAUGGUGGUGCAUGGCCGUUCUUAGUUGGUGGAGUGAUUUGUCUGGUUAAUUCCGAUAACGAACGAGACUCUAGCCUAUUAAAUAACACGCAGGAUCAUGUCUCCUGCGGCGUUUCUUAAUGGGAUCAAGCGUGUUUAACGCUUUGAAACAGAGCAAUAACAGGUCUGUGAUGCCCUUAGAUGUUCGGGGCCGCACGCGCGCUACAUUGAAAGACAAAAUGAGCUCUCUAGUCUUUAAUAAGGCUAGUAAUCUUUGAAUGUUUUUCAUAAUGGGGAUAGGGGAUUGCAAUUGUGCCCCUUGAACGAGGAAUUCCCAGUAAGUGCUAGUCAUUAGCUAGUACUGAUUACGUCCCUGCCCUUUGUACACACCGCCCGUCGCUACUACCGAUUGAAUGGUUUAGUGAGAUCAUCUGAGUGGCUA
rnacentral:rRNA from 1 species